UUGGGGUUGCCUCGUUCUCUCAACCAAAGCCACCUUCUUGGCAAUCAUGCCAGGAUGGAAAUUGCAGGACCCGGGAGGUCAGAGACCAGGCUGGUCUCCCUUGCCCUUCGUUUCCCUCUCAAAUGCCAGAACUCUCCCGAACCAGUCUGGGUGGCAUCCAGUUUCUGCCAGUCCCUUGGACCCCUCUCUUGGAAGAUUUAAGGCACAGCUACAGAAUUGCUCAGCCUGAGAUGCCUCCCCUGGUCUGUAACACACCACAGGUGAGAAAGACUGGGUUUCUUGUCCUUGGCAAUAGCUUAUAUAUUCUGGCAAGUGUUUCAGAAUUCUAUUCUAUUCAAACAGGAAAAAUCUAUUCAGACUAAAAUCUGGUGGGGUCUACUCUGAUUAGCCUAAAUAUCUAUCACAGGCCUCUACUGAAUAUGGAAUACUACUAGUUAGUUUAUAAAAAGAAUCUGAGUAAAAAUUACCAUUUAUACAGGAAUUACUAAAAAUAUAGUUGAAGUUGUAGCAUUAGUAACUUGGAAUUACUAAAUCCAUUUUUUUUACCCCACCACUACAAUUAAUUUAAAUUUGUUCCUUUGUUAACUCACUGAAUAAGCACUUAUUUAUGAUUACUAUUCUUUUAACCUUAAAUCAAGCAUAGUAUUUAUUGUCUUA
rnacentral:lncRNA from 12 species